rnacentral:lncRNA from 1 species
UAAUAUUUCAUAUGUUUUAUUGUAUUGUUUCAAGUUUGAAAAAUAAUGCACUGAUGUGUAAAAUGACUAGAUAACAGUAAUAUUCACUUGAGUAAAUAUGUACAAUAUAUAACUGUGAUUGGACAUCAUUAAAUGAAUGUACACAAUUUGAGUAUAUUUACAUUUGAUUACCGGUAUACAUGUAAAAUAGGGAUACAGGCUCUCAUACUAUACAGUUAGCUCCUAUAAGAAAUUUUUAACUUAUCAGAUCAUAAUUUGACUAAUAGACUUGGCAAUUAUUAGUACUAGUGAUUACCAUUAUACAUGUAAAAUAGGGAUACAGGCUCUCAUAAUUAAACAGUUAGCUCAUUUUCAGAAAAUUUCAACUUAUCAGAUCAUAAUUAGACAAAUAGAGUUGGCAAAUUAUUAGUUCUAAUGUAAAACAAAUGAUAAGUUAUUGAGCAUGUUGAGCACAAACAUGUGAAUCAUUCAAAGAACCAGUUGCUGUUUUUACAAAGCUAUCUUUGGCAAAAGGACGAGGUAUUUCAUUUAAUAAAUAAUUAAAUUUUUAUUUAAUAUCAGAAGGAAUUCAUUAAUUUUCAGCAUUGAAUGAGGUAAUAAAUAAAGGAACAGAGACAAGACAUAAUACUUUACAUGCCAUCUAUAAGAUUGAUUGUUCUACAAUUGGAUGUUCAACAUCACACCCUAUCCUUACAUUGUAAGAAUAAAAUUUAAAUUAUACAUACUGAGUUUUUCUAAAGAGACAAAGUUCUCACCACUGAUCUUGCUAAACAAAAUAAAUUUAAC